rnacentral:rRNA from 1 species
GACGAACGCUGGCGGCGUGCUUAACACAUGCAAGUCGAACGGAAAGGCCCUGCUUUUGUGGGGUGCUCGAGUGGCGAACGGGUGAGUAACACGUGAGUAACCUGCCCUUGACUUUGGGAUAACUUCAGGAAACUGGGGCUAAUACCGGAUAGGAGCUCCUGCUGCAUGGUGGGGGUUGGAAAGUUUCGGCGGUUGGGGAUGGACUCGCGGCUUAUCAGCUUGUUGGUGGGGUAGUGGCUUACCAAGGCUUUGACGGGUAGCCGGCCUGAGAGGGUGACCGGCCACAUUGGGACUGAGAUACGGCCCAGACUCCUACGGGAGGCAGCAGUGGGGAAUAUUGCACAAUGGGCGGAAGCCUGAUGCAGCAACGCAGCGUGCGGGAUGACGGCCUUCGGGUUGUAAACCGCUUUCGCCUGUGACGAAGAGUGAGUGACGGUAAUGGGUAAAGAAGCACCGGCUAACUACGUG